GUACGCUUCUUUUUCCCCGGAGCUUGCUCCACCGGAAAAAGAAGAGUGGCGAACGGGUGAGUAACACGUGGGUAACCUGCCCAUCAGAAGGGGAUAACACUUGGAAACAGGUGCUAAUACCGUAUAACAAUCGAAACCGCAUGGUUUUGAUUUGAAAGGCGCUUUCGGGUGUCGCUGAUGGAUGGACCCGCGGUGCAUUAGCUAGUUGGUGAGGUAACGGCUCACCAAGGCCACGAUGCAUAGCCGACCUGAGAGGGUGAUCGGCCACAUUGGGACUGAGACACGGCCCAAACUCCUACGGGAGGCAGCAGUAGGGAAUCUUCGGCAAUGGACGAAAGUCUGACCGAGCAACGCCGCGUGAGUGAAGAAGGUUUUCGGAUCGUAAAACUCUGUUGUUAGAGAAGAACAAGGAUGAGAGUAACUGUUCAUCCCUUGACGGUAUCUAACCAGAAAGCCACGGCUAACUACGUGCCAGCAGCCGCGGUAAUACGUAGGUGGCAAGCGUUGUCCGGAUUUAUUGGGCGUAAAGCGAGCGCAGGCGGUUUCUUAAGUCUGAUGUGAAAGCCCCCGGCUCAACCGGGGAGGGUCAUUGGAAACUGGGAGACUUGAGUGCAGAAGAGGAGAGUGGAAUUCCAUGUGUAGCGGUGAAAUGCGUAGAUAUAUGGAGGAACACCAGUGGCGAAGGCGGCUCUCUGGUCUGUAACUGACGCUGAGGCUCGAAAGCGUGGGGAGCAAACAGGAUUAGAUACCCUGGUAGUCCACGCCGUAAACGAUGAGUGCUAAGUGUUGGAGGGUUUCCGCCCUUCAGUGCUGCAGCUAACGCAUUAAGCACUCCGCCUGGGGAGUACGACCGCAAGGUUGAAACUCAAAGGAAUUGACGGGGGCCCGCACAAGCGGUGGAGCAUGUGGUUUAAUUCGAAGCAACGCGAAGAACCUUACCAGGUCUUGACAUCCUUUGACCACUCUAGAGAUAGAGCUUCCCCUUCGGGGGCAAAGUGACAGGUGGUGCAUGGUUGUCGUCAGCUCGUGUCGUGAGAUGUUGGGUUAAGUCCCGCAACGAGCGCAACCCUUAUUGUUAGUUGCCAUCAUUUAGUUGGGCACUCUAGCAAGACUGCCGGUGACAAACCGGAGGAAGGUGGGGAUGACGUCAAAUCAUCAUGCCCCUUAUGACCUGGGCUACACACGUGCUACAAUGGGAAGUACAACGAGUCGCGAAGUCGCGAGGCUAAGCUAAUCUCUUAAAGCUUCUCUCAGUUCGGAUUGUAGGCUGCAACUCGCCUACAUGAAGCCGGAAUCGCUAGUAAUCGCGGAUCAGCACGCCGCGGUGAAUACGUUCCCGGGCCUUGUACACACCGCCCGUCACACCACGAGAGUUUGUAACACCCGAAGUCGGUGAG
rnacentral:rRNA from 1 species